UUGUUAUUGCGAAAGUAAUCCUGCUUAGUACGAGAGGAACAGCGGGUUCAAACAUUUGGUUCAUAGACUUGAUCGACAGAUCAAUGGUCUGAAGCUACCAUUUGAGAGAUUAUAACUGAACGCCUCUAAGUUAGAAUCUCGCCUUGUCAAGGCGAAAAUUUCUUGCUUCCCGGUGUCGGGAGGCAUCUCUAUCUCGUGGCAACACGAGAGCUUAUGCCCUAUGUAUGGCCUUGGCUUCGUAGUGAACUCUGCGAAGCUUGCCAACGCCAGAUCACUCUGGUUCAAUGUCGGGGCGCUAAAUCACUUGCAUACGACUUGGUCUCUUGGUCAAGGUGUUGUAUUCAGUAGAGCAGUCCUCUUAUACUGCGAUCUGUUGAGACUAUCCUUUGAUUGAGUUUUUU
rfam:Caenorhabditis briggsae complete genome, chrI